AGUACUAGUAAUACGAACCAAGGUUUGGGAACCUCAAUAACCAGAUGAAUCAGACAAGUCAUCAAGAGUUAAAACAAAUUUAUGGAAACUACCAAGAGUGGGCACAGAUUGGCACAUCACCACUGAAGGAACUGGAAUUUGCAUCAAAGGUUUUGUUGACUGUGUUAUUCUCAUCCUGUCUCAUCCUGUGACUGAACAACUUGUAACAAAUACUAGUCAUAUUACUUAAGAUGUCAUUACAAUAUGCUCAGAUAAGAAACAGACAAUUGGAGAAGAACAGAAAAACUCUGCCCUGGAAGGAGAUGGUGAGUAGCAUACAAGUAAAAGGAAACUAAUAUCUGGAAGAAGUACACAAAUGAGACAUGCAUGGAUUUGGUGUCAUUGAGUUGCUUAGUGUCUUUCCUAUAUGCAACAGUUCUUUAUGGCUGAAUACUAUGCCAAGGGACAAUUGCAUCCUGAAUUGUUGCCAUCAGAAGUGAAAACUGAACAGGCUUUAUGCCAUCUAUAAAAUCAUCUACACAGUCCACUUGGUGAAAUGUCUCUUAAUUACACAAGGUCAAGUACAAAAGGUGCUAUUUAAUCAAACUGGUCCUGCUGUGUGAGAUGUCUGCCAACGAAUGGACAGAAGACAGGACUGCAAUUUUACCAAUUAUUAAGCAUUAACUGAAAGUCCACUUGAUUAGAAGUGAGACUCCUUCAUUAUACAUGACCAUUACAGUUUAUAGAGGGUUUUUUAGUUCCUUCCUUCAACUUGAUUUCUUUGACGAUGUAAUACAAAUGAGUACUCUGACUGCUCCAUGACAGUUACCUUCUUCCCCAAUCAUCUCUCUGGCCUGACCUUGACCUAUAGAUAGACUUUGGCAUUUAGUGAUAAUGUGGUUUGUGGUAGCAGUAACCGCAAAACAGGAUCUUCCCAGUGGCUUCAAGCCAGAGUGUUACUCACUGGCUAAUGGUUAGAAUAGAAGGAUAAUAGAUAUAGGUAAAUAAAUCUGAGAUUUAGAGUUUGUUAAUUUUAAAU
rnacentral:lncRNA from 1 species